GGGAGGAGGCCUGAUCCUGGGCUGUGACCCGUGCCCUGUGCUCCGGGGCCUGCGCUGUUGGAUUCGCGCUCCCGCCCCGCAGCCCCCU
rnacentral:pre_miRNA from 1 species